GGCAGCAUGGAUCAGCGGUUAGAAUGUCCGACCUGCAUUUUUCCGUCUUGGGAGUGGCCUGGGUUCAAAUCCGUGUGUGUCA